CGGAAUAGUGCGUUAAAGCCCGUAGAUAUAGAUGCUGUCGGAAAACCCGCAGUGUCUGUCGAAGGUGACAGUACCGAAAGUCUUCGGACAAUCGGAUAAUGACCCUAAUCAUACUUCCAAGAAAAUUCCCUAAACUUAUAAAUAUACAGCCCGUACCGCAAACCGACACAGGUAGUCGAGAAGAAUAUUCUAAGGUGCUCGAGUGAUCCAUGGCUAAGGAACUCGGCAAAUUAACCCUGUAACUUCGGGAAAAAGGGUGCUCUCUUCGGAGAGUCGCAGAGAAAUGGCCCAGGCGACUGUUUAACAAAAACACAUGGCUAUGCUAAAUCGAAAGAUGACGUAUAUGGCCUGACACCUGCCCGGUGCUGGAAGGUUAAAAGGAGAUGUCAGCAGCAAUGCAAAGCAUUGAAUUGAAGCCCCAGUAAACGGCGGCCGUAACGAUAACGGUCCUAAGGUAGCGAAAUUCCUUGUCGGGUAAGUUCCGACCUGCACGAAUGGUGUAACGAUCUGGGCGCUGUCUCAGUCAUGAGCUCGGUGAAAUUGUAGUAUCGGUGAAGAUGCCGAUACCCGCAACGGGACGGAAAGACCCCGUGCACCUUCACUACAACUUUGCAUUGACUUUGGAUGAAUGAUGUGUAGGAUAGGUGGGAGACUUUGAAGCGGUGGCGCUAGCUACCGUGGAGUCAACCUUGAAAUACCACCCUUCAUUCAUUCGGAGUCUAAUUCCACACCGUGGAAAACAGUGCAUGGUGGGUAGUUUGACUGGGGUGGUCGCCUCCAAAAGAGUAACGGAGGCUUUCAAAGGUACCCUCAGCACGCUUGGUAACCGUGCGUGGAGUGCAAUAGCAUAAGGGUGCUUAACUGUGAGACAAACAAGUCGAGCAGAGUCGAAAGACGGAUAUAGUGAUCCGGUGGUUCCGCAUGGAAGGGCCAUCGCUCAAAGGAUAAAAGGUACGCCCGGGAUAACAGGCUGAUCUCCCCCAAGAGCUCACAUCGACGGGGAGGUUUGGCACCUCGAUGUCGGCUCGUCACAUCCUGGGGCUGGAGAAGGUCCCAAGGGUUGAGCUGUUCGCUCAUUAAAGUGGCACGCGAGCUGGGUUCAGAACGUCGUGAGACAGUUCGGUCCCUAUCUGUUGUGGGCGUUGGAAGUUUGAGAGGGCCUGACUCUAGUACGAGAGGACCGAGUCGGACGAACCGCUAGUGUACCUGUUGUCACGCCAGUGGCAUUGCAGGGUAGCUAUGUUCGGUUGAGAUAAGCGCUGAAAGCAUCUAAGCACGAAACUCGCCUCAAGAUGAGACUUCCUUUAAAGGUCGUGGUAGACUACCACGUUGAUAGGUUGCAAGUGU
rnacentral:rRNA from 1 species